rnacentral:rRNA from 1 species
GACGAACGCUGGCGGCGUGCUUAACACAUGCAAGUCGAACGGUAAGGCCCUUCGGGGUACACGAGUGGCGAACGGGUGAGUAACACGUGGGUGAUCUGCCCUGCACUUCGGGAUAAGCCUGGGAAACUGGGUCUAAUACCGGAUAGGACCACUGCCUGCAUGGGUGGUGGUGGAAAGCUUUUGCGGUGUGGGAUGGGCCCGCGGCCUAUCAGCUUGUUGGUGGGGUGAUGGCCUACCAAGGCGACGACGGGUAGCCGGCCUGAGAGGGUGACCGGCCACACUGGGACUGAGAUACGGCCCCGACUCCUACGGGAGGCAGCAGUGGGGAAUAUUGCACAAUGGGCGCAAGCCUGAUGCAGCGACGCCGCGUGAGGGAUUACAGCCUUCGGGUUGUAAACCUCUUUCAGCACCGACGAAGCGCAAGUGACGGUAGGUGCAGAAGAAGGACCGGCCAACUACGUGCCAGCCGCCGCAGUAA